GUUUGAUUAUGGCUCAGGAUGAACGCUGGCGGCAUGCCUAAUACAUGCAAGUCGAACGGAGUGAAGCCUUCGGGUUUCAUUCAGUGGCGAACGGGUGAGUAAUACGCAGGGAACCUGGCCAUGGCAGGGGGAUACACUCUGGAAACGGAGCAUAAGACCCCAUAGGCAGUAAGGCGGCAUCGCCUUACUGUUAAAGAAAGCUGAAAGGCUUUGGCGAUGGAUGGACCUGCGGUGCAUUAGCUUGUUGGUGAGGCAACGGCUUACCAAGGCGAUGAUGCAUAGCCGGCCUGAGAGGGCGGACGGCCACACUGGGACUGAGACACGGCCCAGACUCCUGCGGGAGGCAGCAGUAGGGAAUUUUCGUCAAUGGGCGCAAGCCUGAACGAGCAAUGCCGCGUGAGUGAGGAAGGUCUUCGGACUGUAAAGCUCUGUUGCCGGGGAAAAAGGGGAAAUGCAGGAAAUGGCAUUUCAUGGAUGGUACCCGGCCAGAAAGCCACGGCUAACUACGUGCCAGCAGCCGCGGUAAUACGUAGGUGGCGAGCGUUAUCCGGAAUGAUUGGCCGUAAAGGGUGCGCAGGCGGUCUGUUAAGUCUGAAGGCAAAGGGAUGAGCUCAACUCAUUUAUGAUUUAGAAACUGGCAGACUUGAGGACAGGAGAGGGCGGUGGAACUCCAUGUGUAGCGGUAAAAUGCGCAGAGAUAUGGAAGAACACCAGUGGCGAAGGCGGCCGCCUGGCCUGUGACUGACGCUGAGGCACGAAAGCGUGGGGAGCAAAUAGGAUUAGAUACCCUAGUAGUCCACGCCGUAAACGAUGAGGAGCAGGUGUUGGGAGUGAAAUCUCAGUGCCGAAGCCAACGCAGUGACUCCUCCGCCUGGGGAGUAUGCACGCAAGUGUGAAACUCAAAGGAAUUGACGGGGGCCCGCACAAGCGGUGGAGUAUGUGGUUUAAUUCGAAGCAACGCGAAGAACCUUACCAGGUUUUGAUAUCGGAUGCGAAGGCGCAGAGAUGCGCUGGAGGCUAUCAUCCAGACAGGUGGUGCAUGGUUGUCGUCAGCUCGUGUCGUGAGAUGUUCAGUUAAGUCUGGCAACGAGCGCAACCCCCGUGGUAUGUUACUAACGCUUUAGGGCGAGGACUCAUAUCAGACUGCCGGUGACAAACCGGAGGAAGGCGGGGAUGACGUCAAAUCAUCAUGCCCCUUAUGACCUGGGCUACACACGUACUACAAUGGCGUCUACAGAGGGAAGCGACCCUGAGAAGGGAAGCGAAACCGGAAAAGGGCGUCCCAGUUCGGAUUGAAGUCUGCAACCCGACUUCAUGAAGAUGGAAUCGCUAGUAAUCGCGGAUCAGCAUGCCGCGGUGAAUACGUUCCCGGGCCUUGUACACACCGCCCGUCAAACCAUGGAAGCCGGCAACGCCCGAAGCCGGUGGCAUAACCUUUUAGGAGUGAGCCGUCGAAGGCGGGGCCGAUGACUGGGGUUAAGUCGUAACAAGGUACCC
rnacentral:rRNA from 1 species